GACAACAGAGAAAUGAGGGUUAGACUCAAGCGCAGUGUGCAGUGUAGUCGCUGCAGAACACCUGCAGGAGAGUCACACUGUGACAGAGACUGUGAAGCGCUAACGUGUCCAACACGCUCACGCCACAGCUCAAGUAGGUAUGAAAAGGAUAUUGAAUGUACGCAAAUGUUCUGGGCAGUGUAGUUAGGUGUGCAGUGUUUAGUGUAGUGCACAGUGUAGUUAAGUGUGCAGUGUUUAGUGUAGUGCGCAGCUUAGCGUGGAGUGCACAGUGUUGCUUGCACUGCGCAGUGUAGUUAGGUGUGCAGUGUUUAGUGUAGUGUGCAGUUUAGCGUGCAGUGUAGUGUGUAGUUAGGUGUGCAGUGUUUAGUGUAGUGUGUAGUUUAGCGUGCAGUGUAGUUAGGUGUGCAGUGUUUAGUGUAGUGCGUAGUUUAGCGUGCAGUGUAGUUAGGUGUGCAGUGUUUAGUGUAGUGUGUAGUUUAGCGUGCAGUGUAGUUAGGUGUGCAGUGUUUAGUGUAGUGCGUAGUUUAGCGUGCAGUGCGCAGUGUAGUUAGGUGCGCAGUGUUUAGUGUAGUGUGCAGUUUAGCGUGUAGUUUAGCGUGCAGUGUAGUUAGGUGUGCAGUGUUUAGUGUAGUGUGUAGUUUAGCGCGCAGUGUUUAGUGUAGUGUGCAGUUUAGCGUGCAGUGUAGUGUGUAGUUUAACAAGCAGCGCGCCGUGUAGUUAGGUGUGCAGUGUUUAGUGUAGUGUGUAGUUUAGCGUGCAGUGUAGUUAGGUGUGCAGUGUUUAGUGUAGUGCGUAGUUUAGCGUGCAGUGCGCAGUGUAGUUAGGUGCGCAGUGUUUAGUGUAGUGUGCAGUUUAGCGUGUAGUGUGUAGUUUAGCGUGCAGUGUAGUUAGGUGUGCAGUGUUUAGUGUAGUGUGUAGUUUAGCGCGCAGUGUUUAGUGUAAUGUGCAGUUUAGCGUGCAGUGUAGUGCGUAGUUCAGCGUGCAGUGUAGUUAGGUGUGCCGUGUUUAAUGUAGUGUGCAGUUUAGUGUGCAGCGCGCAGUGUAGUUAGGUGUGCAGUGUUUAGUGUAGUGCGCAGUGUUUAGUGUAGUGCGCAGUGUUUAGUGUAGUGCGCAGUGUAGUUAGGUGUGCAGUGUUUAGUGUAGUGUGCAGUGUAGUGUGUAGUUUAGUGUGCAGUGCACAGUGUAGUUAGGUGUUUAGUGUAGUGUGCAGUGUUUAGUGUAGUGCGCAGUGUUUAGUGUAGUGCGCAGUGUAGUUAGGUGCAGUUUAGCGUGCAGCGCGCAGUGUAGUUAGGUGUGCAGUGUUUAGUGUAGUGUGUAGUUUAGCGUGCAGCAUGCAGUGUUUAGUGUAGUGUGCAGUGUAGUUAGGUGUGCAGUGUUUAGUGUAGUGUGCAGUUUAGCGUGCAGUGUAGUGCGUAGUUCAGCGUGCAGUGUAGUUAGGUGUGCAGUGUUUAGUGUAGUGUGCAGUUUAGCGUGCGGUGUAGUGUGUAGUUUAGUGUGCAGUGCGCAGUGUAGUUAGGUGUGCAGUGUUUAGUGUAGUGUGCAGUGUUUAGUGUGUAGUUUAGUGCGCAGUGUAGUUAGGUGCGCAGUGUUUAGUGUAGUGUGCAGUUUAGCGUGCAGUGUAGUGUGUAGUUUAGUGUGCAGUGCGCAGUGUAGUUAGGUGUGCAGUGUUUAGUGUAGUGUGCAGUGUUUAGUGUAGUGUGCAGUGUUUAGUGUGUAGUUUAGUGCGCAGCGCGCAGUGUAGUUAGGUGCGCGGUGUUUAGUGCAGUGUGUAGUUUAGCGUGCAGUGUAGCGUGCAGUGUAGUUAGGUGUGCAAUGUUUAGUGUAGUGUGCAGUUUAGCGUGCAGUGUGUAGUGUAGUUAGGUGUGCAGUGUAGCGCGCAGUGUAGUGCGCUUCAAUGGAGAACACCUGCAGGAGAGUCACACUGUUAGACAGAGACUGUGAAGCACUAACGUGACCAGCACGCUCACGCCACAGCUCAAGUAGGUAUGAAAAGGAUAUUGAAUGAACGCAAAUCCUCCGGGCAGUGAAGCGCACAGUGUUUAGUGUAGCGCGCAGUGUAGUUUGGUGUGCAGUGUAGCGCGCAGUGUAGUUUGGUGUGCAGUGUAACGCGCAGUGUAGUGCGCUUCAAUGGAGAACACCUGCAGGAGAGUUACACUGUUAGACAGAGACUGUGAAGCGCUAACGUGUCCAGCACGCUCACGCCACAACUCAACUUGUUAUAA